rnacentral:rRNA from 1 species
UACGGAGGGGGCUAGCGUUGUUCGGAAUUACUGGGCGUAAAGCGCACGUAGGCGGCUUUGUAAGUUAGAGGUGAAAGCCCGGAGCUCAACUUCGGAAUUGCCUUUAAGACUGUAUCGCUUGAAUCAUGGAGAGGUCAGUGGAAUUCCGAGUGUAGAGGUGAAAUUCGUAGAUAUUCGGAAGAACACCAGUGGCGAAGGCAAUCCCCUGGGCCUGUACUGACGCUCAUGCACGAAAGCGUGGGGAGCAAACAGG